GGGUUGUGAGGUUAAGCGACUAAGCGUACACGGUGGAUGCCCUGGCAGUCAGAGGCGAUGAAGGACGUGCUAAUCUGCGAAAAGCGCCGGCGAGGUGAUAUGAACCUUUGACCCGGCGAUGUCCGAAUGGGGAAACCCAGUGUGWUYCGWCACMCUAUCGUUAACUGAAUACAUAGGUUAACGAGGCGAACCGGGGGAACUGAAACAUCUAAGUACCCCGAGGAAAAGAAAUCAACCGAGAUUCCCCCAGUAGCGGCGAGCGAACGGGGAGCAGCCCGGAGUCUGAAUCAGCUUGUGUGUUAGUGGAACGGUCUGGAAAGUCCGACGGUACAGGGUGAUAGUCCCGUACACGAAAAUGCACAGGUUGUGAACUCGAAGAGUAGGGCGGGACACGUGGUAUCCUGUCUGAAUAUGGGGGGACCAUCCUCCAAGGCUAAAUACUCCUGACUGACCGAUAGUGAACCAGUACCGUGAGGGAAAGGCGAAAAGAACCCCGGCGAGGGGAGUGAAAAAGAACCUGAAACCGUGUACGUACAAGCAGUGGGAGCCUACUUGUUAGGUGACUGCGUACCUUUUGUAUAAUGGGUCAGCGACUUAUAUUCUGUAGCAAGGUUAACCGWAUAGGGGAGCCGAAGGGAAACCGAGUCUUAACUGGGCGUUAAGUUGCAGGGUAUAGACCCGAAACCCGGUGAUCUAGUCAUGGGCAGGUUGAAGGUUGGGUAACACUAACUGGAGGACCGAACCGACUAAUGUUGAAAAAUUAGCGGAUGACCUGUGGCUGGGGGUGAAAGGCCAAUCAAACCGGGAGAUAGCUGGUUCUCCCCGAAAGCUAUUUAGGUAGCGCCUCGUGAACUCAUCUUCGGGGGUAGAGCACUGUUUCGGCUAGGGGGCCAUCCCGGCUUACCAACCCGAUGCAAACUACGAAUACCGAAGAAUGUUAUCACGGGAGACACACGGCGGGKGCUAACGUCCGUCGUGAAGAGGGAAACAACCCAGACCGCCAGCUAAGGUCCCAAAGUCAUGGUUAAGUGGGAAACGAUGUGGGAAGGCACAGACAGCCAGGAUGUUGGCUUAGAAGCAGCCAUCAUUUAAAGAAAGCGUAAUAGCUCACUGGUCGAGUCGGCCUGCGCGGAAGAUGUAACGGGGCUAAACCAUGCACCGAAGCUGCGGCAGCGACGCUUAUGCGUUGUUGGGUAGGGGAGCGUUCUGUAAGCCGUUGAAGGUGGCCUGUGAGGGUUGCUGGAGGUAUCAGAAGUGCGAAUGCUGACAUAAGUAACGAUAAAGCGGGUGAAAAGCCCGCUCGCCGGAAGACCAAGGGUUCCUGUCCAACGUUAAUCGGGGCAGGGUGAGUCGACCCCUAAGGCGAGGCCGAAAGGCGUAGUCGAUGGGAAACAGGUUAAUAUUCCUGUACUUGGUGUUACUGCGAAGGGGGGACGGAGAAGGCUAUGUUAGCCGGGCGACGGUUGUCCCGGUUUAAGCAUGUAGGCGGAGGUUCCAGGUAAAUCCGGUACCUUAUUAACGCUGAGGUGUGAUGACGAGGCACUACGGUGCUGAAGUAACAAAUGCCCUGCUUCCAGGAAAAGCCUCUAAGCAUCAGGUAACACGAAAUCGUACCCCAAACCGACACAGGUGGUCAGGUAGAGAAUACCAAGGCGCUUGAGAGAACUCGGGUGAAGGAACUAGGCAAAAUGGUGCCGUAACUUCGGGAGAAGGCACGCUGAUAUGUAGGUGAAGCCCCUGCGGGUGGAGCUGAAAUCAGUCGAAGAUACCAGCUGGCUGCAACUGUUUAUUAAAAACACAGCACUGUGCAAACACGAAAGUGGACGUAUACGGUGUGACGCCUGCCCGGUGCCGGAAGGUUAAUUGAUGGGGUUAGCGGYAACGCGAAGCUCUUGAUCGAAGCCCCGGUAAACGGCGGCCGUAACUAUAACGGUCCUAAGGUAGCGAAAUUCCUUGUCGGGUAAGUUCCGACCUGCACGAAUGGCGUAAUGAUGGCCAGGCUGUCUCCACCCGAGACUCAGUGAAAUUGAACUCGCUGUGAAGAUGCAGUGUACCCGCGGCAAGACGGAAAGACCCCGUGAACCUUUACUAUAGCUUGACACUGAACACUGGUCCUUGAUGUGUAGGAUAGGUGGGAGGCUUUGAAGCGUGGACGCCAGUCUGCGUGGAGCCRMCCUUGAAAUACCACCCUUUAAUGGCUGGUGUUCUAACGUAGACCCGUGAUCCGGGUUGCGGACAGUGUCUGGUGGGUAGUUUGACUGGGGCGGUCUCCUCCCAAAGAGUAACGGAGGAGCACGAAGGUUAGCUAAUCCUGGUCGGACAUCAGGAGGUUAGUGCAAUGGCAUAAGCUAGCUUGACUGCGAGAGUGACGGCUCGAGCAGGUGCGAAAGCAGGUCAUAGUGAUCCGGUGGUUCUGAAUGGAAGGGCCAUCGCUCAACGGAUAAAAGGUACUCCGGGGAUAACAGGCUGAUACCGCCCAAGAGUUCAUAUCGACGGCGGUGUUUGGCACCUCGAUGUCGGCUCAUCACAUCCUGGGGCUGAAGUAGGUCCCAAGGGUAUGGCUGUUCGCCAUUUAAAGUGGUACGCGAGCUGGGUUUAGAACGUCGUGAGACAGUUCGGUCCCUAUCUGCCGUGGGCGCUGGAGAAUUGAGGGGGGCUGCUCCUUAUCUGCCGUGGGCGCUGGAGAAUUGAGGGGGGCUGCUCCUAGUACGAGAGGACCGGAGUGGACGCAUCACUGGUGUUCGGGUUGUCAUGCCAAUGGCACUGCCCGGUAGCUAAAUGCGGAAGAGAUAAGUGCUGAAAGCAUCUAAGCACGAAACUUGCCCCGAGAUGAGUUCUCCCUGAGACUAUAAGUCUCCUGAAGGAACGUUGAAGACGACGACGUUGAUAGGUCGGGUGUGUAAGCGCAGCGAUGCGUUGAGCUAACCGAUACUAAUGAACCGUGAGGCUUAACCUUACAACGCCGAAGCUGUU
rnacentral:rRNA from 1 species